GAUGAACGCUGGCGGCGUGCUUAACACAUGCAAGUCGAACGGUGAAGGCGGAGCUUGCUCUGCUGGAUCAGUGGCGAACGGGUGAGUAACACGUGAGCAAUCUGCCCCUGACUCUGGGAUAAGCGCUGGAAACGGCGUCUAAUACUGGAUACGAGCUGCGAAGGCAUCUUCAGCAGCUGGAAAGAAUUUCGGUCAGGGAUGAGCUCGCGGCCUAUCAGCUUGUUGGUGAGGUAAUGGCUCACCAAGGCGUCGACGGGUAGCCGGCCUGAGAGGGUGACCGGCCACACUGGGACUGAGACACGGCCCAGACUCCUACGGGAGGCAGCAGUGGGGAAUAGUGCACAAUGGGCGAAAGCCUGAUGCAGCAACGCCGCGUGAGGGACGACGGCCUUCGGGUUGUAAACCUCUUUUAGCAGGGAAGAAGCGAAAGUGACGGUACCUGCAGAAAAAGCGCCGGCUAACUACG
rnacentral:rRNA from 1 species